rnacentral:ncRNA from 2 species
AAAAAUGAAUACUUAGUUCAUAAUAUAUUUCUGAUAAUAUGGUUCAGAAGUUUCUACCAAAGGCCGUAAAUCUUUGACUAUUAUGAAUUAUGGGGACAUU